rnacentral:lncRNA from 1 species
GCACAGGUGGCCUGAGGGUCAGCUUACAAGUUGGAAUAUGACACACGGGGUUUGAGUUUCCUUGACGUUUGAGUGUGUCAAGGCCAGCUUAGGUGUACCUCAGACUGAGCCAGAACUCCAGAUUAGUUUCAGAGCUCUCCUGAUCUCCUGGAAGUGCUUAUGACCACAAGACGAGUCUCUGGGUCAGGACAGAUGAGGAGGUCAGGAAGCCCUCCCCAGCAGACCUCCCACCCGCUCCAGAUGGAGUUAAUAAUUGCCCCCGCCCAGCAACCUUUGCUGCUCUCACUUGCUCCUCUUGCUGCAGUCAUUACACAGCUCACUUUGUUUACAGGAUCAUCUUUCCUCCAUGCUCUGGGCUCCUUGAGAGCAGGGCUCUGUUUUAUUCUCAGUGUCCCUGGGCGUCUUUAGCAUCUAGUACUUUCCUAGCACCUAGCUGAGGAGGGACUCAAUUGAGUGGGAGAGAAGAGACGCCACAGCCAACCCCAGAUCCCUGCUGGUCUUCACAGAGGCAGCGUAUUUUCCCGUGGGUUGUCGAGACUCUCCUCCAGCUCUAUGAGCUGUGAACGGCUAAGAGAGCAGGAAACAUGUCCUAUUCACAUCAUCAGGCAAAAUGCCUGCCCCUACCCGAGGCCUCAAAAUUGAAAUUGGACCCAUGAGAGGAGGCUUUCUGGAGGAAAUGAUAUUCAACCUGAGAACUAGAAAUCAAAUGCAUUUUGGAUCUUCAUACGGAAUUACAUGUUGGAAUGGAAAGAAAUUAAACCCAAAGGCCUGGGUCUGCCAUUGUGUGACCUGAAAUACGCAUUUGACCGUUCUGUGUCUUUCCUUGUGUGUGAAAUCGGUUUCAGAUUAAUGAAGCAUCGAUGCACUAUGUAUCCUGUUUGGUAAGACUUUUAUUCAAAUACAUUUUUGCAUAAUUAGGUUGUCAUGCAGGGAAUUCCAGUGUAAAAUAAAGUCCAGUGGAUAUGGGUUAUUUCAAUAAUAGCCCUUUUGUUAUUUAGAUGUAAAUUUACCUGCUUGUUCUAUUUGGAAAUCAGUUUGUUUAUACUACCUUAUGUUUAUAUCUUUAGCUUCUUCUGUACUGUGUCUUUCUUAUCCCCAUAAAUAUGAAUUAUCGACUACAUGAAACUGAUUCCAUAAGCUACAAGCUUAAAAAUUUGCACAAUUCUUAUGUUUGGCAAAAUUCUACGGAGGAAGAUAAUGUAUUGAAAAUAAAUAGGCUUGGUUAUGGGAAUGAUUCCAAGUUUCAGUCCUUGGCAGGGUUGGACUUCCACUGGAAAAUAAAAUUAGCCAAAACUGUAGCUCAAAAUCUUUUGAAAGAUAAAGCUAUGGGGAUUACACUAAUGUAUUCAAGGUGUCCAUGUACUUUGAGUACAGCUAAUAAUAAGCUCCCUGGAAAAUAUGAUGAAGACACUGGCAGGUUGUCAAAGUUCAACAAAAUCAACUUCAUGCACAUCCAAGACUACCAUUUCCAAAAUAAAUGGGUGGAUUCACCUUUAUCGUCUCAUUUGGAAUGCUAACUUUGGGAGUGUGGGAGGCAUUUUUCAUAAUCACAGGGAAGGGGACAAUAAGCUUUGCCUCCCACAUUCAGUGUGUCCUCACUGCUGUUUUAUCUCAGCAUCUGAAAUUCAAAGCAGCUUCCUCCAAAGCAAAAGGCCACCCAGGAGCUGGAAGGAAAGGAGCACAGGGAGGAAUUUGUGGUGAAAUUUGGCCACAGUCCCCGAAAGCCCACUUUCCUGUAUUUUUUCAGUGCUGAGUAAUAUUUGAGUGCUCCUAAUGAGAUAGAUGUUCUGCCCACCAGACUCAGCCUUCAGGAAUUCUGGAGCAGCGCUGUAUUCUUCCUAAGAUGAUUAGACUACAGAUAUUACUUCGCUGUUCCAAAACACAGAGAAACUAAUGAAAAUAUUUCAGAUCAUGAGAAUUUCCCUCGUAGUCUAGCUACAUCUCGGGUUCAUAGAAAAGGGUUUAAUUUUCAUAGCUGAAUAAAUAACUCUUUCUUUCGGGAGUUGUAUAACUCCCAGCAGUCAUGCUCAGCUGAGGAGCGGAAGUACAGGUUGUGUCAGAAUCACCUGUGACACUUUUUCAACUCACACAUUCUCUCCUCUCAACAGGCCCUAUUUUCUCCCUAAGAUUCUGCACAUUCCUGCCCAUGGGGCAGCAUGGAUAGAAUCUGCCACUGUGAUCAACAGCUAUUUAUGAGAGUGAGUUGUAUCUCCUAGAGAUUGGGGUGGGAAAAAGGCUGAGAAACAGCUCCACUGUCUUGGAGCAACAUUUCUCGACAGUGUCCCCAGCUCUUCAGGGAUUCAUGGGGUUGGUAAUGGAGACCUGCAGGCGAUGUUCAUUAUUGUUUAAAACAAUCUUAUGGAAGCUGUAUAUCUGCUGACAGUAGAGCUGCUCUAGCUGCUGGCUGAAACCUUGUCUCUUGUCUUCCAGUUACAAUCACAUCGGCUCCUGGAGAUAAGCUAAUUAUCAGGCUAUUUGGAAGCUCUGAUGAGCUUGAUGAAUAGAAAUGAAAAAAAUGAAUUAUAUUUAAUUAAGUCUGGUCAUUUGAUAGACAGUUUCAAAACAUGUGACACAUAGAAUACAAAUAAUUAAAAGGGCACAUGGCAGCUAAAAAGUUUGUAAAUCACUGACCUCAAAUGAGGUAGAAUUCAGCAUAGAAGAAAUAUCUGUUGAUUUCUCUUUAAUUAACAACUUUCUUAUUACUAUUGGCAUCUCUGUGUAGAUAAGUGCGCAAAUCUACACAUAUGUUCUAAAAUAGAUAGGAAUGAAGAAAGAACAACAGAUAUACUAACUGGGGAUAGAGCUGUCUAUACAUUGACAGCUGUAAUCAUUUAUUAAUUUUAAUGUGAUCUUUUAAAAUUAUUCCUGUUUUAUUUAUCUUCAGUAAAUUUGAAUUCCACAG